rnacentral:lncRNA from 1 species
UUGGUGGUAGGGCACUACACAGAUUCAGCCUUUUGAAAGAAAUAUGAGUGAUUUCUAGUUAUUAGACACUGGGGGAGUACUGACAUCAUCCAGUGAGGAGAGUCAGGGUUCUGGGAAGUGUACUAGAGGUUCCUGCCACGGAGAAAUGAAGACUAUCAGAAACCGAAGGUAGACUGUUUCUUCUUUGGGCUCCCCGGCUUCCACCUCUCUCAGGAGCAAAGACACUCCUCCAGGCGCCCCAGAUGGUACUGGCUGACACACUCCAAGGAUGUCAUUAUGAACACGUGUAAACCACAUGAGGGUGAGGGGAAGGAGCUUCUGAAGACUAAAUGCCUGGCACUACCCUCAUCCCUGAGGGCCUUAAGAUACUGCUGGGAGGAGCAGAGCAGAUCACAUUAACACUUGGCCUACAUGUCAGUCCCCUCUCCCAAGACCUUUGGAGAGAAAGAGAAUGAAAGAGUGUGACAGUAUUUUGAGAUGCUCAAAGUCCUCAAUAAAUCUGAGGUAUGAUUUUUAAGUUGAUUUUCC